rnacentral:lncRNA from 1 species
UUGCUAAUAUCUAUUAUUACCAAUGACAAAAAUACCAUCGCUAAUAGCUGUCACUAAUACUCAAUUUUAUUAUAGUGUAUCAUGAGUUUCAACGAGAUAGAGGCUAUGAAAAACUCAUCAAAUCCCAUCAUCUAUCAUAUAUAAGAUUUAUUCAACUUGAGUUCAUACUAUAAAAUCUUAUGAAAAUUUUUUUCUAUUAUUUACACUGCCAUGACCAUGAUCUUCAGAACUCGAUCUCAUAAAUCAUAUAGGACUACUCCUUAUCAAUC